ensembl:misc_RNA Metazoa_SRP Metazoan signal recognition particle RNA
GCCAGGUGCAGUGGUGUGCACCUGUAGUCCUACCUACUCAGGAGGCUGAGGCAGGAGGAUUGCUUGAGCCCAGGACUUUGAGGCUGCAGUGAGCUGUGAUCACGCCACUGCACUCCAGCCUGGGCAACAAAGUGAGACUCUGUU